GCAAGUCGAGCGAAUGGAUUAAGAGCUUGCUCUUAUAGAAUGUUACGCGGCGAGACGGGUAGAGUAACACUGUGGUGUAACCGUGCCCAUAAGACGUGGAGAUAACUCCGGAGAAACCGAGGGCUAAUACCGAGAUAACAUUUUGAACCGCAUGGUUCGAAAUUGAAAGGCGGCUUCGCGCUGUCACUUAUGGAUGGACCCGCGUCGCAUUAUCUAGUUGGUGAGGUAACGGCUCACCAAGGCAACGAUGCGUACCCGACCUGAGAGGGUGAUCGGCCACACUGGGACUGAGACACGGCCCACACUCCUACGGGAGGCAGCAGUAGGGAAUCUUCCGCAGUGGACGAAAGUCUGACAGAGCAACGCCGCGUGAGUGAUGAAGGCUUUCGGGUCGUAAAACUCUGUUGUUAGGGAAGAACAAGUGCUAGUUGAAUAAUCUGGCACCUUGACGGCUACCUAACCAGAACAGCCGACGGCUAACUACGUGCCAGCAGCCGCGGUAAUACGUAGGUGGCAAGCGUUAUCCGGAAUUAUUGGGCGUAAAGCGCGCGCAGGUGGUUUCUUAAGUCUGAUGUGAAAGCCCACGGCUCAACCGUGGAGGGUCAUUGGAAACUGGGAGACUUGAGUGCAGAAGAGGAAAGUGGAAUUCCAUGUGUAGCGGUGAAAUGCGUAGAGAUAUGGAGGAACACCAGUGGCGAAGGCGACUUUCUGGUCUGUAACUGACACUGAGGCGCGAAAGCGUGGGGAGCAAACAGGAUUAGAUACCCUGGUAGUCCACGCCGUAACGAUGAGUGCUAAGUGUUAGAGGGUUUCCGCCCUUUAGUGCUGAUGUUAACGCAUUAAGCACUCCGCCUGGGGAGUACGGCCGCAAGGCUGAAACUC
rnacentral:rRNA from 1 species